AACGAACGCUGGCGGCAGGCCUAACACAUGCAAGUCGAACGGGAUCUUCGGAUCUAGUGGCAGACGGGUGAGUAACACGUGGGAAUCUACCCAGUACUACGGGAUAACACAGAGAAAUUUGUGCUAAUACCGUAUACGCCCUUCGGGGGAAAGAUUUAUCGGUAUUGGAUGAGCCCGCGUUUGAUUAGCUAGUUGGUGAGGUAAUGGCUCACCAAGGCGACGAUCAAUAGCUGGUCUGAGAGGAUGAUCAGCCACACUGGGACUGAGACACGGCCCAG
rnacentral:rRNA from 1 species